rnacentral:lncRNA from 1 species
AUGAAGACACAGCGACGACACACACCAGCAGGAGCCAAAAAAUCCAGAAAACAUCAAACAAAAUCCUCGCUGUUGUUAUUUUUGAAGCCUGAUCCUGCCUUGGUUUGGCGUAAAAGCUGUGCUUCCGGUAAGUCGCAGAGAACACUCUGCUCUAGUAAACACAGGCUCCUGCUGCAAGUUGUUUAUAAAGAGCCACGCUGUUUUCCAGAAGCAGGUAUUAUAAGACUAACAGAACCCCCACAGCAACUUUUUAACCAGUGA